rnacentral:rRNA from 1 species
GUUUGAUCCUGGCUCAGAACGAACGCUGGCGGCGUGCUUAACACAUGCAAGUCGAACGCGAAAGGGACUUCGGUCCUGAGUAAAAGUGGCGCACGGGUGAGUAACGCGUAGAUAACCUAUCUUCGUGUCUGGAAUAAUACGCCGAAAGGGGUACUAAUACCGGAUAUUCUUGUUUUAUAUAAGUAUGGCAAGCAAAGGUGGCCUCUGAUUUAAGCUACUGCAUGAAGAGGGGUCUGCGUACCAUUAGCUAGUAGGUGGGGUAAUGGCCCACCUAGGCGACGAUGGUUAGCGGGUCUGAGAGGAUGAUCCGCCACACUGGCACUGGAACACGGGCCAGACUCCUACGGGAGGCAGCAGUGAGGAAUAUUGCGCAAUGGGGGGCAACCCUGACGCAGCGACGCCGCGUGAGUGAGGAAGGCCUCGGUCGUAAGC